AUACAAAUACUCAAAGUUGAACAGUUUAUCACUACUUUGCACAUGUCAAAAUUUUGUCAUUAUUUGUUUUGGCAACAUUGUUGCAGUAAAUAAACAAUAUGGAUCAGGUUAAUCACCAAACAUGUCCUAUGGAAACCAAAAAGCUGUUGCCUGAGACAUCUCUUCAAAAUUCAAAAGAAAUAACUGUAAGCCUGCUU